CAUGGACGAAAGUCUGACGGAGCAACGCCGCGUGAGUGAUGAAGGUUUUCGGAUCGUAAAACUCUGUUGUUAGGGAAGAACAAGUACCGUUCGAAUAGGGCGGYACCUUGACGGUACCUAACCAGAAAGCCACGGCUAACUACGUGCCAGCAGCCGCGGUAAUACGUAGGUGGCAAGCGUUGUCCGGAAUUAUUGGGCGUAAAGCGCGCGCAGGCGGUUUCUUAAGUCUGAUGUGAAAGCCCCCGGCUCAACCGGGGAGGGUCAUUGGAAACUGGGGAACUUGAGUGCAGAAGAGGAGAGUGGAAUUCCACGUGUAGCGGUGAAAUGCGUAGAGAUGUGGAGGAACACCAGUGGCGAAGGCGACUCUCUGGUCUGUAACUGACGCUGAGGCGCGAAAGCGUGGGGAGCGAACAGGAUUAGAUACCCUGGUAGUCCACGCCGUAAACGAUGAGUGCUAAGUGUUAGAGGGUUUCCGCCCUUUAGUGCUGCAGCAAACGCAUUAAGCACUCCGCCUGGGGAGUACGGUCGCAAGACUGAAACUCAAAGGAAUUGACGGGGGCCCGCACAAGCGGUGGAGCAUGUGGUUUAAUUCGAAGCAACGCGAAGAACCUUACCAGGUCUUGACAUCCUCUGRCAACCCUAGAGAUAGGGCUUCCCCUUCGGGGGCAGAGUGACAGGUGGUGCAUGGUUGUCGUC
rnacentral:rRNA from 1 species